GCCGCGUGAGUGAAGAAGGCCCUUGGGUUGUAAAGCUCUUUCGUCGGGGAAGAAAAUGACUGUACCCGAAUAAGAAGGUCCGGCUAACUUCGUGCCAGCAGCCGCGGUAAUACGAAGGGACCUAGCGUAGUUCGGAAUUACUGGGCUUAAAGAGUUCGUAGGUGGUUAAAAAAGUUGGUGGUGAAAUCCCAGAGCUUAACUCUGGAACUGCCAUCAAAACUUUUUAGCUAGAGUAUGAUAGAGGAAAGCAGAAUUUCUAGUGUAGAGGUGAAAUUCGUAGAUAUUAGAAAGAAUACCAAUUGCGAAGGCAGCUUUCUGGAUCAUUACUGACACUGAGGAACGAAAGCAUGGGUAGCGAAGAGGAUUAGAUACCCUCGUAGUCCAUGCCGUAAACGAUGUGUGUUAGACGUUGGAAAUUUAUUUUCAGUGUC
rnacentral:rRNA from 1 species